GCGGGUGUAGCUCAAUGGUAGAGCAGAAGUUUUCCAAACUUACGACGAGGGUUCGAUCCCCUUCACCCGCUCCA
rnacentral:tRNA from 11 species